rnacentral:misc_RNA from 1 species
GAAAUGCGAUAAUUAAUGUGAACUGCAGAAUUCAGUGAAUCAUCGAGUCUUUGAACGCACAUUGCGCCCCCUGGUAUUCCGGGGGGCAUGCCUGUCCGAGCGUCAUUGCUGCCCUCAAGCACGGCUUGUGUGUUGGGCUUCCGUCCCUGGCAACGGGGACGGGCCCAAAAGGCAGUGGCGGCACCAUGUCUGGUCCUCGAGCGUAUGGGGCUUUGUCACCCGCUCCCGUAGGUCCAGCUGGCAGCUAGCCUCGCAACCAAUCUUUUUAACCAGGUUGACCUCGGAUCAGGUAGGGAUACCCGCUGAACUUAAGC